rnacentral:rRNA from 1 species
UACGGAGGGUGCAAGCGUUAUCCGGAUUCACUGGGUUUAAAGGGUGCGUAGGUGGGCAGGUAAGUCAGUGAUGAAAUCUCCGGGCUUAACCCGGAAACUGCCAUUGAUACUAUCUGUCUUGAAUACCCUGGAGGUGAGCGGAAUAUGUCAUGUAGCGGUGAAAUGCUUAGAUAUGACAUAGAACACCCAUUGCGAAGGCAGCUCACUACGGGAAUAUUGACACUGAGGCACGAAAGCGUGGGGAUGAAACAGG